rnacentral:rRNA from 1 species
AUUGAACGCUGGCGGAAUGCUUUACACAUGCAAGUCGAACGGCAGCACGGGGGCAACCCUGGUGGCGAGUGGCGAACGGGUGAGUAAUACAUCGGAACGUGCCCAGUCGUGGGGGAUAACGUAGCGAAAGUUACGCUAAUACCGCAUACGAUCUACGGAUGAAAGCGGGGGACCGUAAGGCCUCGCGCGAUUGGAGCGGCCGAUGUCAGAUUAGGUAGUUGGUGAGGUAAAGGCUCACCAAGGCGACGAUCAGUAGCUGGUCUGAGAGGACGACCAGCCACACUGGGAAUGAGACACGGCCCAGACUCCGACGGGAGGCGGCAGUGGGGAAUUUUGAACAAUGGGCGCAAGCCUGAUCCAGCCAUUCCGCGUGCAGGACGAAGGCCUUCGGGUUGUAAACUGCUUUUGUACGGAACGAAAAGGCUCUGGUUAAUACCUGGGGCUCAUGACGGUACCGUAAGAAUAAGCACCGGCUAACUACGUGCCAGCCGCCGCCGUAA